rnacentral:misc_RNA from 1 species
GUGAAUCAUCGAAUUUUUGAACGCAAAUUGCACUCUCCUCGGAGAGUAUGCCUGUUUGAGGGUCAGCCUAUAAAAAAUCAAAAUCGUUGCUGUUUCGCGGUGGCGUUCGUCGGAAAUUGGGCCAUCUUAAAUCUUUUGGGUUUUUAAGCGACUUAAAUUUUUCUUUUUGGUUCCUGGAACGUUCCAAAGAUUUUUUUCUUUCCACGUUUGGGUAAUGG